GGUGGAGUGGUGUAGUGGUUAGCACACCCGACCGGACAUUGGGGAGGCCCAGAGUUCAUAUCCUGGCUCCGCCA
rnacentral:tRNA from 1 species